AGUCGAACGGCAGCACGGGGAGCUAUGCUCCUGGUGGCGAGUGGCGAACGGGUGAGUAAUAUAUCGGAACGUGCCCAGUAGUGGGGGAUAGCCCGGCGAAAGCCGGAUUAAUACCGCAUACGAUCUACGGAUGAAAGCGGGGGAUCGCAAGACCUCGCGCUAUUGGAGCGGCCGAUAUCUGAUUAGCUAGUUGGUGAGGUAAAGGCUCACCAAGGCGACGAUCAGUAGCUGGUCUGAGAGGACGACCAGCCACACUGGAACUGAGACACGGUCCAGACUCCUACGGGAGGCAGCAGUGGGGAAUUUUGGACAAUGGGGGAAACCCUGAUCCAGCAAUGCCGCGUGAGUGAAGAAGGCCUUCGGGUUGUAAAGCUCUUUUGUCAGGGAAGAAACGGUUCUGGCUAAUAUCCAGAGCUAAUGACGGUACCUGAAGAAUAAGCACCGGCUAACUACGUGCCAGCAGCCGCGGUAAUACGUAGGGUGCGAGCGUUAAUCGGAAUUACUGGGCGUAAAGAGUGCGUAGGCGGUUGUGCAAGACAGAUGUGAAAUCCCCGGGCUUAACCUGGGAAUUGCAUUUGUGACUGCACGGCUAGAGUGUGUCAGAGGGGGGUAGAAUUCCACGUGUAGCAGUGAAAUGCGUAGAGAUGUGGAGGAAUACCGAUGGCGAAGGCAGCCCCCUGGGAUAACACUGACGCUGAGGCACGAAAGCGUGGGGAGCAAACAGGAUUACAUACCCUGGUAGUCCACGCCCUAAACGAUGUCUACUAGUUGUCGCGUCUUAAUUGACUUGGUAACGCAGCUAACGCGUGAAGUAGACCGCCUGGGGAGUACGGUCGCAGGAUUAACACUCA
rnacentral:rRNA from 1 species